rnacentral:rRNA from 2 species
ACGGGAGGCAGCAGUGGGGGAUAUUGCGCAAUGGGGGAAACCCUGACGCAGCAACGCCGCGUGAAGGAAGAAGGUCUUCGGAUUGUAAACUUCUUUUGUCAGGGACGAAGAAAGUGACGGUACCUGACGAAUAAGCUCCGGCUAACUACGUGCCAGCAGCCGCGGUAAUACGUAGGGAGCAAGCGUUGUCCGGAUUUACUGGGUGUAAAGGGUGCGUAGGCGGCUAAGCAAGUCAGAUGUGAAAUGUAUGGGCUCAACCCAUGAACUGCAUUUGAAACUGCAUAGCUUGAGUGAAGUAGAGGUAGGCGGAAUUCCCUGUGUAGCGGUGAAAUGCGUAGAGAUAGGGAGGAACACCAGUGGCGAAGGCGGCCUACUGGGCUUUAACUGACGCUGAGGCACGAAAGCGUGGGUAGCAAACAGGAUUAGAUACCCUGGUA